rnacentral:rRNA from 1 species
GCCAGCAGCCAUGUCACUCUGCAACUCACAACUGGCAACCCACUAAAGCUAACCAGGUGUGAGCCUGGUCAGUACCUGGUUAGGAGACCUCCUGGGAAAAACUAAGGUUGCUGCUGGAA